GAUGACCGGUCGACGAGGUGGAUCGGCGGGAGCGGAGGACCCGAGCAGGACGGGGUCCGGGCCUCAUGGCCACGGACUCCUUGGGGUGAAGCCGUGCAGACGGCCGGGCAUCUUCGCCUGUCCGAACCCGACAGGUCUCCCUUCGCAGGCGGCUGACGAAGGGUUU
rnacentral:sRNA from 1 species